GUCCGCGCUCAGGAUCCGAACCCUGGGCCGCCGCAGUGGAGUGUGCGAACUUAACCAGUUGGCCACAGAGCUGGCCCCCGAAGGGUUUCUUCUUUUUCUGCCUGAAGAUCUACAGAGGCCUGGACUUGCAAUUGGAAUCGCCCUAGCACUCAGGAGCCUGGACGGGCCUGGGAGAAAGAGACAGAUGAAGAUGUGGAUUAGGUCCAUUAUCCCUCAGCAUAUGUCGACGUUAAUAAGUGUGUUCUAUGUAGAUUCAUUAAUCCACUUUUCGGAAUUGAAAAUGAGUAUUUCAGAUGCUUAAUGUGAUAGCCUAGAUGCUCUGAGAUCCAAGUCCCCCUGGACACAAUGUUCUUUAAUCUUUUUAAAUGAUCUGUAAUGGAACCUUCGGGUAUGUAAUAGAGAACACAGUCUGUUAUGACUUAUUGACAAGAUUUUCUAAGAAGGGACUCAUUAAAAAAUGUCCCAAAUGAUAUAACUGAAGCUUAUUUUCUUUACUCCAUGGUGAUGUUUUGAAAUGUAACUUUAAAUGGUUCUGCCUUUGUAAAAUUUUUUUUAAAAAGAGAGCAACGUUCUGAUUUUAAUAUAUAUGUUAGCAAAACAAUUUAAAAUAUCUAAGAUGAUCUGUAUGAAAUCUUGUACACUGUUGGA
rnacentral:lncRNA from 1 species